CCUACGGGAGGCAGCAGUUGGGAAUCUUGGACAAUGGGGGAAACCCUGAUCCAGCCAUGCCGCGUGAGUGAUGAAGGCCUUCGGGUUGUAAAACUCUUUCGACGGGGACGAUAAUGACGGUACCCGUAGAAGAAGCUCCGGCUAACUUCGUGCCAACAGCCGCGGUAA
rnacentral:rRNA from 1 species